ensembl:piRNA 21ur-2898 ncRNA
UCAUUGUUCUUUAAAGGGCUG